UGAAAAGCGAAGAUCUGGAAGAGUACAGAGAUGAGGCUUGCCUGCAGAGAGGAAAACUCCUGGCUGAAAGGUUUUCCGCAAGAGCUCUUUGGAAAGUCCCCCGUGAGCUGCUUCUGCGAACUGUUCAGUAGUGGAAGCCGGUUGCCAGCCGUUAAUGGAUUGAGAGCCGGAUAGAUCUGCCUUGGCUGCAGCUGUCCGUGAAAAAAGGUGGUACCGCGAAUAACUCCUUCGUCCUUUUG
rnacentral:ncRNA from 1 species